rnacentral:rRNA from 1 species
GCUUAACACAUGCAAGUCGAGGGGCAGCGGGGAGGAAGCUUGCUUUCUCCGCCGGCGACCGGCGCACGGGUGAGUAACACGUAUGCAACCUGCCCCUGUCAGGGGGACAACCCGCCGAAAGGCGGGCUAAACCCGCGUACAUGCCACCGGGGCAUCCCGGAGGCAGGAAAGGCUUCGGCCGGACAGGGAUGGGCAUGCGGCGCAUUAGGCAGUAGGCGGGGUAGCGGCCCACCUAACCGACGAUGCGUAGGGGUUCUGAGAGGAAGGUCCCCCACACUGGUACUGAGACACGGACCAGACUCCUACGGGAGGCAGCAGUGAGGAAUAUUGGUCAAUGGUCGGGAGACUGAACCAGCCAAGCCGCGUGAGGGAUGAAGGUACAGAGUAUCGUAAACCUCUUUUGUCAGGGAACAAAGGCGGGGACGUGUCCCCGGAUGAGUGUACCUGAAGAAAAAGCAUCGGCUAACUCCGUGCCAGCAGCCGCGGUAAUACGGAGGAUGCGAGCGUUAUCCGGAUUUAUUGGGUUUAAAGGGUGCGCAGGCGGUCUGUUAAGUCAGCGGUCAAAGCCCGGGGCUCAACCCCGGCCCGCCGUUGAAACUGGCAGUCUCGAGUUGGAGAGAAGUAUGCGGAAUGCGCGGUGUAGCGGUGAAAUGCAUAGAUAUCGCGCAGAACUCCGAUUGCGAAGGCAGCAUGCCGGCUCCACACUGACGCUGAGGCACGAAAGCGUGGGUAUCGAACAGGAUUAGAUACCCUGGUAGUCCACGCAGUAAACGAUGAAUGCUGGCUGUCCGGGGGGGAUUGACCCCUGGGUGGCGAAGCGAAAGCGAUAAGCAUUCCACCCGGGGAGUACGCCGGCAACGGUGAAACUCAAAGGAAUUGACGGGGGCCCGCACAAGCGGAGGAACAUGUGGUUUAAUUCGAUGAUACGCGAGGAACCUUACCCGGGCUCAAACGGGGAGUGACUCAGGCAGAGACGCCUGUUUCCCACGGGACACUCCCCGAGGUGCUGCAUGGUUGUCGUCAGCUCGUGCCGUGAGGUGUCGGCUUAAGUGCCAUAACGAGCGCAACCCCCGCGUGCAGUUGCUAACAGAUAACGCUGAGGACUCUGCACGGACUGCCGGCGCAAGCCGCGAGGAAGGCGGGGAUGACGUCAAAUCAGCACGGCCCUUACGUCCGGGGCGACACACGUGUUACAAUGGGUGGUACAGCGGGAAGCCAGGCGGCGACGCCGAGCGGAACCCGAAAUCCACUCUCAGUUCGGAUCGGAGUCUGCAACCCGACUCCGUGAAGCUGGAUUCGCUAGUAAUCGCGCAUCAGCCAUGGCGCGGUGAAUACGUUCCCGGGCCUUGUACACACCGCCCGUCAAGCCAUGGGAGCCGAGGGCGCUUGAAGU